GAAGUGGGGGUGGCCGGGAUAGAAGCCGCAGCCCAGGCGGCGGUCCCUCCCGCUGUCGCCGCCCGGGUGUAGCGCAUCACCCGGAGCCCACCGGCCGCAGGUGCCUCCUCCGGCCCCAGGGGGCCCCGGGAGCCCUGAAGGGCGAAGCGGCAGGGACGCCUCUCUUGGGCGAAGAGGCGGCCUCACCGCCCCGGAUGCGGCCGGAGGGCGCGGGAAUGGAGCUCGGAGGCGGCGAGGAGCGCCUGCCUGAGGAGAGCAGGCGUGCCGCCGCCAGACGGAUUACUGGCAGUUCGUGAAAGACAUCCGGUGGCUCAGUCCCCACUCAGCCCUUCACGUGGAGAAGUUCAUCAGCGUGCACGAGAACGACCAGAGCAGUGCUGAUGGUGCCAGUGAACGUGCUGUUGCCGAGCUGUGGCUGCAGCACAGCCUGCAGUACCACUGCCUCUCAGCCCAGCUCCGGCCCCUGCUCGGGGAUAGACAGUAUAUCAGAAAAUUCUACACAGAUGCUGCCUUCCUGCUAAGUGACGCUCAUGUCACGGCCAUGCUGCAGUGCCUGGAAGCAGUGGAACAGAACAACCCCCGCCUCCUGGCUCAGAUCGAUGCGUCCAUGUUUGC
rnacentral:lncRNA from 1 species